rnacentral:rRNA from 1 species
GACGAACGCUGGCGGCGUGCUUAAUACAUGCAAGUCGAACGGAGUGGCGAACGGGUGAGUAACACGUGGGUUAACUGCUCUGCACUCUGGGAUAAGCCUGGGAAACUGGGUCUAAUACCGGUUAGUGUGGGAUGGGUCCGGGGCCUAUCAGCUUGUUGGUGGGGUAAGGGCGUACGAAGGCGGCGAGGGGUGGCCGGCCUGGGCGGGGGGACGGCGACAUGGGGACUGCGUGACGGAGCAGACUCCUACGGGAGGCAGCAGUGGGGAGUAUUGCACAAUGGGCGGAAGCCUGAUGCGACGACGCCGCGUGGGGGAUGACGGCCUUCGGGUUGUAAACUCCUUUCACCAUCGACGCGGUAGAUGGAGAAGAAGCACCGGCUAACUACGUGCCAGCAGCCGCGGUAAUUC